rnacentral:rRNA from 1 species
AGUGAACGCUGGCGGUAGGCCUAACACAUGCAAGUCGAACGGCAGCACAGUAAGAGCUUGCUCUUACGGGUGGCGAGUGGCGGACGGGUGAGGAAUACAUCGGAAUCUACUUUUUCGUGGGGGAUAACGUAGGGAAACUUACGCUAAUACCGCAUACGACCUACGGGUGAAAGCAUGGGAUCUUCGGACCUUUCGCGAUUGAAUGAGCCGAUGUCGGAUUAGCUAGUUGGCGGGGUAAAGGCCCACCAAGGCGACGAUCCGUAGCUGGUCUGAGAGGAUGAUCAGCCACACUGGAACUGAGAGACGGUCCAGACUCCUACGGGAGGCAGAAGUGGGGAAUAUUGGACAAUGGGCGCAAGCCUGAUCCAGCCAUACCGCGUGGGUGAAGAAGGCCUUCGGGUUGUAAAGCCCUUUUGUUGGGAAAGAAAAGCAGCAGGUUAAUACCCCGCUGUUCUGACGGUACCCAAAGAAUAAGCACCGGCUAACUUCGU